GUGGGUGAUGACCUGAAAGAUAUAAAUGCACCAUAACAACAGUGAAAUACUUCACCUACGUUGUGUCAUUUAAAAAAAAAAAAUUUCGUCUUGUGAUUCCUUUUGAAGGUAAUGGUAGGGGGUAAAGGGUGAUGGUGGUGUUGAUGGUAGGGAACUGUACACCUCUGACAGUGUGCCAGUUCAUAACAGCAGCAGCCAAACAAACAUUCACACUCACACUCUUCCUAAACAGCUCUAUUAUAUUUACAACCAGGGAUCAAACCAAUGACCCUUUUUUGCUGUAAGGCAAGUGCACAAACUUCUUACACAGUGUGGCUUCAACUUUAAUGAGACUAAAUCUAGUGUGUUAUACCAGUUCCUCUGGGGCUUGAACCCAGGACCAUCUGUCUGUAAGGCAGGCCUGAUAUCCGCUGUACAUAUGUCUGUCGAUGAAAAAACCUGAUUCAAAUCACAUAAACAGGUUCAAAUAUUACCUGUCGAAACAUUAAAAAUUGAAAUCUGAUUAAUCAGAGGGUGCACAUGGAUUAAUCGCGAUUAUUCACAUGAUUAACUGUGAUCGUAAUUAAUCCCAAUUAAUCAACAUUAAUAAAUAUGACAAACAAUUUUUUCCUGCAUAUUGUUGAAACAAAAAGACAAAUAACGUGUGUUGAUUAAUGAGGGUGGAAUUAUUGGAUUUCUUAGGAUCAAUUUCAUGAAGUCAUUAACACAAUUAAACAGAUCUAACAUCAACUGAAGGUCCAGACCUCAGCUUUAUAAUAGGGCCGUCAAAAUGAUUAUUUCAUGGUGUUGUUGGAGCGUCCACUAGGGGCUGCGUGUUUGUUAGCAGCAUCAGGUCUUGACUGAGUUGUUCAGGGCAAAACAGCAAAUAAUUCAGAUGGUCACCAUCUACUGUUAUAAUGUUACACUCAGGGAGUCGGGGGGGAUUUCUGAACAAAACUUUUCUAUUUUGCUCCCGACAAAACAAAUGCGAAGUGCGAGCGUGAAAUGGGCGCUAAUCUCAUUGCAAUACAUCACAGUCAGAUGGCUAACAAAUGACAAUAUGUUGUUUCAUAUAGCAAUUUACUGUUAGCAAAGGCUGAGAGCCAAAUCCUCCAGUUAGGAAAUUUGGAGCCUAAAUGGUUGCAGACUGAGAUGCGCAGUGAUGAUAAAUUAUAGGAUGGAUUCAAGUAGAAUUGAUGAUGGAGAUUUAGGUUUGGUUGUUGUUGUCAUGAUGAAAUGCACAAAGGUUUGCCUGAUUUAUUUGUGCCGUGGAAGCCUUUAGUAGAAUACUGCAGCUCCAACUCUGGUUCAGAACCAAACACAACAAUUCAUACAAAAAAGUGUCUUAGUCUCACUGUAACUCAGUGUUUCUCAAAAUGUGGGGCAGAUACACCUAAUGCACACGGAACACGGAUGAAUUUCAACUUGAAUACAUGCAGAUUUGAGGGACCAGGUGAGGUGAGGCAAAAUCCACAAAUUCUUCCUUUUUUGUACCAUUAAGAAAUAAAGUGUGGGGUCUCCACCGACACCUGCGUUAUCCAAAAGUUUUACCGACUCUUUGAACACCUCGGCCUCGCCUCCCUAACUCUUCUGUCCCAGGAAAUCUCAGCCUCUUCCUGUCGUCCACCUCCAGCUCUGCGUGUUGACUUUCAGACAGGGUCACUGCCUCCAGGCCAUUCAGCGUAACACGUCUCACCGCCAUUAAAGUGAGGGGUGUAAAAGUCUUCAUUUUAUUAGUAAAAAUCUUAUAUCAAAUUUAUCAUCGAGCCGUGUGCGUUAUCGUUGCGCAGGGCUGUAAUAAAUCGCAAAUUCCCCAAAUUCAUUAAAAUACGCGGUAAUGUAAGAAUAAAUAUUAGAAAAGCGACGCAGAGCCACAAAACUUGAAAAGUAUGACCCUGAAAUCUGAUCUGAGUGGAGGAGAAAUUAUGUAAAAUAAUUAGCGUUACAUUUUGUCUAAUUAAUGCCAGCAUUAAUGUUCUACUUCUUGUUUCUCUCAUUUCCAGUCUCCUCUGUGUGACCUGACCGGUAAAAACUCAUUAGAUGAUUCAUUUAAGAAUCACAAAUAUAACAGAUCGUAAAUUAAUGUAUCCAGUGAAGAUACAUAACAUUUUAAGGGCUCUAAUGAGUUUGGAGCAGCUCAUCAUUAGCUGCUGCCUCAGGUAUUGAUCUCUACCCUGCACUCAGUGCUGUGUACUUUGGUGCCGUAAGGAGCGAGGAGUCACCGGAGUGCUGAUCGCUCACCUCCUCCAACGGGAGGCACACACACACACACACUCUGCACGACACGGCCCUUUGACUCAUCUCUCAGCUGGAGAGAGUGUCCGAAACACUGAGCACCACUUCCUGUGUUCUCACCAUCCCUCCACCUCUCAGGCCUCCGUCAGGACCGCCCGCUGCUGCCUACCUGCUCUUGUUGUCACCGUGACACGGUCCAGUGAGUCACGGUCCAGCCGAGCAGCUGCCACCGCCUGAAGGACGCCCACACCAUCAAAGACAACACCAGUGCACUUCACUCAUCUUCACACGCACCAGCGGAGCUGCAGCGGCGUCCGUGAGGCACCGUGUGUAAAACAGUAUAUCACACUCUGUAUAUAUAUAUGUGUGUGUGUAUAUCUCACUUUGUUGGCCAAAGAGUCGAUAUUUUUUCUAAGAAUAUAACAUUAUUCACCUCUUUGGUCUGAAAAUCAAUGACAAAACAACAACAACAAAAAACACUCUCUGUCCUAAUUUCAUUUGUUAAAUAUUAGGGUUGUCCUUACACCAUAUUUCACCAAACAUUACCAAGUGCUUUAUCAACCCAAACAACAGUGAAGACACCGAGAUGGAAAAUGUUUAUAGCCAAAGAUUCAAUAAAGAACCUUCUGCAUAGUAACCACAGUCAGCUGAGCAGAAAGUGAGCGGAGCUUUUUCCACCAAUAGUCUCCUGAUUUACUGAAGUUCCACGAAAUGGCUCUACAUCAAUGUCUGUAGUUCAGUUGAAAUACAACGAAGCUAACCGCUAACUGUCUGCAUUGUCUUUUCUUUGUUUGCCAUGGAGAAUCAUACGUUAACUUUUCCAAAAAAAAAAAACCCAACAACAACAAAAAAAC